GUAUAUAGUUCAGUUAGUAGAAUGAUUGCCUCACAUGCACGAGGCCCUAGGUUCAAUCCCCAGCACUACA
rnacentral:tRNA from 1 species